CAAAAACAUGUCCUUUUGAAUUUAAUUUAAGGUCUGACCUGCCCACUGAUUUUUUAAAUGGCCGCAGUAUUUUAACUGUGCAAAGGUAGCAUAAUCAUUAGUCUUUUAAUUGAAGGCUGGAAUGAAUGGUUGAAUGAAAUAUUAACUGUUUCAAUUUAAUUUUUUGUAGAAUUUUAUUUUUUAGUCAAAAAGCUAAAAUUUAAUUAAAAGACGAGAAGACCCUAUAAAUCUUUAUAAUUACAUUUUUAUUGAAUUAUAGAUUAUUUUAUUAAUAAAAAAACUAAUUAUUUUAUUGGGGUGAUAUUAAAAUUUAAAAAACUUUUAAUUAAAAAAUUACAUUAAUUAAUGAGCUAUUGAUCCAUUUAUAAUGAUUAAAAAUUUAAGUUACUUUAGGGAUAACAGCGUAAUUUUUUUGAAGAGUUCAUAUUGAUAAAAAAGAUUGCGACCUCGAUGUUGGAUUAAGAUAUAGAUUUAGGUGU
rnacentral:rRNA from 1 species